UUCCCUGGCAGUUCAGGGGUUAGGACUUUGCACUUUCAUUGCUGAGGACACAAGUUCAAUCCUGGUCAGGGAAC
rnacentral:tRNA from 1 species